rnacentral:rRNA from 1 species
UAUGUAGGGUGCGAGCGUUAAUCGGAAUUACUGGGCGUAAAGCGUGUGCAGGCGGUGAUGUAAGACAGGUGUGAAAUCCCCGGGCUUAACCUGGGAACUGCAUUUGUGACUGCAUCGCUGGAGUGCGGCAGAGGGGGAUGGAAUUCCGCGUGUAGCAGUGAAAUGCGUAGAUAUGCGGAGGAACACCGAUGGCGAAGGCAAUCCCCUGGGCCUGCACUGACGCUCAUGCACGAAAGCGUGGGGAGCAAACAGG